AUUGAACGCUGGCGGCAGGCCUAACACAUGCAAGUCGAACGAGUGGCGGACGGGUGAGUAAUGUCUGGGAAACUGCCUGGUAGAGGGGGAUAACUACUGGAAACGGUAGCUAAUACCGCAUACCAUCGGAUGUGCCCAGAUGGGCUUAGCUAGUUGGUGGGGUAAAGGCUCACCUAGGCGACGAUCCCUAGCUGGUCUGAGAGGAUGACCAGCCAAACUGGAACUGAGAAACGGUCCAGACUCCUACGGGAGGCAGCAGUGGGGAAUAUUGCACAAGGGGCGAAAGCCUGAUGCAGCAAGGCCGCGUGUAGGAAGAAGGCCUUCGGUUUGGAAAACACGUUCAUCGAGGAGGCGUUAUCUGCAGAAGAAGCAACGGCUAACUCCGUGCCAGCAGCCGCGGUAAUUC
rnacentral:rRNA from 1 species